rnacentral:rRNA from 1 species
GUCCAGACUCCUACGGGAGGCAGCAGUGGGGAAUAUUGCACAAUGGGGGGAACCCUGAUGCAGCGACGCCGCGUGAGUGAAGAAGUCCUUCGUGAUGUAAAGCUCUAUCAGCAGGGAAGAAAAUGACGGUACCUGACUAAGAAGCCCCGGCUAACUACGUGCCAGCAGCCGCGGUAAUACGUAGGGGGCAAGCGUUAUCCGGAUUUACUGGGUGUAAAGGGAGCGUAGACGGCAGCGCAAGUCCGAAGUGAAAGCCCGGGGCCCAACCCCGGGACUGCUUUGGAAACUGUGAAGCUGGAGUGCGGGAGGGGCAGGCGGAAUUCCUGGUGUAGCGGUGAAAUGCGUAGAUAUCAGGAGGAACACCGGCGGCGAAGGCGGCCUGCUGGACCGUAACUGACGUUGAGGCUCGAAAGCGUGGGGAGCGAACAGGAUUAGAUACCCGUGUA